ensembl:miRNA MIR7702 microRNA 7702
CUUAGACUGCCAGACUCCCUGAGGACAUGCAGUUUCAGGGAGUCUGGUAGUCUAAGUGU